rnacentral:lncRNA from 1 species
CUCUCCCGCCGAGUCCCGGGAUCCUCCAAAUCCGAGGAGCUCCGGCGCCGCGGGGCAGCUUUCUGCCGCCUUCCCCGCUCGCUGUACUUCUUUUGGGGUUCGUUGGCUUGGCGAAGCGGAGAGGGGGAGGCGGAGGAGGAGAGAAGGCGGGGGUCGCGGCGGCCGAAGCCAAGAGAAAGUGGCAUGCCCGAACCCUGGAGGCGGUGGUGGCGGAGGACGGGGGAAGACGAUGCCGCAGCUCCGUAGGGGACGUAGGCGAGAGCAAGCGAGGCGAGCUGGGCGC